AGUGUAGAUUCAGAGUUUGAUCCUGGCUCAGGAUGAACGCUGGCGGCGUGCCUAACACAUGCAAGUCGAACGGACAAAGAUGAAACCUAGUGAUUCUUUGUUAGUGGCGGACGGGUGAGUAACGCGUGGGUAACCUGCCCUGUACCGGGGGAUAACACUUAGAAAUAGGUGCUAAUACCGCAUAAACGCACAAGGAUGCAUGUCUUUGUGUGAAAAACUCCGGUGGUACAGGAUGGACCCGCGUCUGAUUAGCUGGUUGGUGAGGUAACGGCCCACCAGGGCGACGAUCAGUAGCCGGCCUGAGAGGGUGACCGGCCACAUUGGGACUGAGACACGGCCCAA
rnacentral:rRNA from 1 species